UACGAAGGGGGCUAGCGUUGCUCGGAAUCACUGGGCGUAAAGCGCACGUAGGCGGAUUCUUAAGUUAGGGGUGAAAUCCUGGAGCUCAACUCCAGAACUGCCUUUGAUACUGGGAGUCUUCGAGUCCGGGAGAGGUGAGUGGAACUGCGAGUGUAGAGGUGAAAUUCGUAGAUAUUCGGAAGAACACCAGUGGCGAAGGCGGCUCACUGGUCCGGUACUGACGCUGAUGUGCGAAAGCGUGGGGAGCAAACAGG
rnacentral:rRNA from 1 species